UACGUAGGGUGCAAGCGUUUAAUCGGAAUUACUGGGCGUAAAGCGUGCGCAGGCGGUUAUGUAAGACAGGUGUGAAAUCCCCGGACUUAACCUGGGAACUGCAUUUGUGACUGCAUAGCUAGAGUACGGUAGAGGGGGAUGGAAUUCCGCGUGUAGCAGUGAAAUGCGUAGAUAUGCGGAGGAACACCGAUGGCGAAGGCAAUCCCCUGGACCUGUACUGACGCUCAUGCACGAAAGCGUGGGGAGCGAACAGG
rnacentral:rRNA from 1 species